rnacentral:rRNA from 1 species
GGGUGGAUUAGUGGCGAACGGGUGAGUAACACGUGAGUAACCUGCCCUUGACUCUGGGAUAAGCCUGGGAAACUGGGUCUAAUACCGGAUAUGACUCCUCAUCGCAUGGUGGGGGGUGGAAAGCUUUUUGUGGUUUUGGAUGGACUCGCGGCCUAUCAGCUUGUUGGUGAGGUAAUGGCUUACCAAGGCGACGACGGGUAGCCGGCCUGAGAGGGUGACCGGCCACACUGGGACUGAGACACGGCCCAGACUCCUACGGGAGGCAGCAGUGGGGAAUAUUGCACAAUGGGCGCAAGCCUGAUGCAGCGACGCCGCGUGAGGGAUGACGGCCUUCGGGUUGUAAACCUCUUUCAGUAGGGAAGAAGCGAAAGUGACGGUACCUGCAGAAGAAGCGCCGGCUAACUACGUGCCAGCAGCCGCGGUAAUACGUAGGGCGCAAGCGUUAUCCGGAAUUAUUGGGCGUAAAGAGCUCGUAGGCGGUUUGUCGCGUCUGCCGUGAAAGUCCGGGGCUCAACUCCGGAUCUGCGGUGGGUACGGGCAGACUAGAGUGAUGUAGGGGAGACUGGAAUUCCUGGUGUAGCGGUGAAAUGCGCAGAUAUCAGGAGGAACACCGAUGGCGAAGGCAGGUCUCUGGGCAUUAACUGACGCUGAGGAGCGAAAGCAUGGGGAGCGAACAGGAUUAGAUACCCUGGUAGUCCAUGCCGUAAACGUUGGGCACUAGGUGUGGGGG